rnacentral:rRNA from 1 species
CCUACGGGAGGCAGCAGUCGGGAAUAUUGCGCAAUGGAGGAAACUCUGACGCAGUGACGCCGCGUGCAGGAAGAAGGUUUUCGGAUUGUAAACUGCUUUCGACAGGGAAGAAAAAGACCGUAACUUUAGAAUAAGCUCCGGCUAACUACGUGCCAGCCGCCGCGGUAAUACGUAGGGAGCAAGCGUUAUCCGGAUUUAAUGGGUGGAAAGGGUGGGUAGACGGAGAAGCAAGUUAGUUGUGAAAGCCCUGGGCUUAACUGAGGAACUGCAACGAAAACUACUUCCCUUGAGUACUGGAGAGGAAAGUGGAAGUCCUAGUGUAGCGGUGAAAUGCGUAGAUAUUAGGAGGAACACCAGUGGCGAAGGCGACUUUCUGGACAGUAACUGACGUUGAGGCACGAAAGUGUGGGGAGCAAACAGGAUUAGAUACCCCUGUAGUC